GGAGGAGGAGGAGGAAUAGAGAGCGCGAUGGGUCUGCAGGUCGAUUUUGAAGAAUAUGCUGCAAAAGCUAAAACUUUACCUGUAAAUACUACUAACAAGAGCAAAUUGAUCCUGUAUGGGCUUUACUAGCAAGCAACUGUCGGACCUGUGAAUACUAGCUGACCUGGUAUAUUCAAUAUGAGGGAUAGAGCCAAAUGGGAAGCUUGGAAGGCUGUUGAAGGUUUACAAAAUCCACUUGACAAAUCUUAUAUAUAUAAAUAUAAAUAAAUAAAUAUAACUUGUUGGACAAAAUUCAUUUCUUAUUUAAUAUUAGUAAAAUUGACAGGGGAGGAAGCCAAAGGAGGAGGCUAUGAGUGACUACCUCACCAAGGUUAAACAGCUGCUCGAGGCAGCUGCUACUGUUGCUUAUGCUACUUUGUCACACCUUGCUCUAUGUAGUACCAUGUAAGUUGUUACCUUCUAUUUUGAACUUGAAUCUUCUAGUGGAUGUGUUAGUUAUGGAUUUCAUCUCCUUUGUGUCUAACAAUUGACACUAUCUGAAAUCUAAUGCAGUAUCUUAUCAUUUCAUUAGUGUUUCAUUCGAGUUAAGAUGCAAUGCGGAUGUCAAGUUUUUAGGUCAGCAAAGCUAAGUGUGGGCAUGUUGAAUGAGCAUUACCUGUAGCCCAUAUAUUUA